rnacentral:rRNA from 1 species
AGAGUUUGAUCCUGGCUCAGAUUGAACGCUGGCGGCAUGCCUUACACAUGCAAGUCGAACGGUAGCAGGCCUUAGGGCGCUGACGAGUGGCGAACGGGUGAGUAAGACAUCGGAACGUGCCCGAUCGAGGGGGAUAACGGAGCGAAAGCUCUGCUAAUACCGCAUAAGAUCCGAGGAUGAAAGCAGGGGACCGAAAGGCCUUGCGCGGACGGAGCGGCCGAUGGCAGAUUAGGUAGUUGGUGGGAUAAAAGCCUACCAAGCCGACGAUCUGUAGCUGGUCUGAGAGGACGACCAGCCACACUGGGACUGAGACACGGCCCAGACUCCUACGGGAGGCAGCAGUGGGGAAUUUUGGACAAUGGGCGCAAGCCUGAUCCAGCCAUGCCGCGUGCAGGAUGAAGGCCCUCGGGUUGUAAACUGCUUUUGUACGGAACGAAAAGGCCCUGGUGAACAACCGGGGUUGCUGACGGUACCGUAAGAAUAAGCACCGGCUAACUACGUGCCAGCAGCCGCGGUAAUACGUAGGGUGCGAGCGUUAAUCGGAAUUACUGGGCGUAAAGCGUGCGCAGGCGGACAUGCAAGACAGAUGUGAAAUCCCCGGGCUCAACCUGGGAACUGCAUAUGUGACUGCAUGACUGGAGUACGGCAGAGGGGGAUGGAAUUCCGCGUGUAGCAGUGAAAUGCGUAGAUAUGCGGAGGA